CAGGCUGGGGAAGCUGUUCGUUGGUUAUUGCAUUUUAUCCGUAAUGAUGAAUGAAUGAUCUCGUUUUGAAUUUUUACGAUAUCAAUAUUCAUCAGACAUCGCCAACUUCAGAUGUCUUCUUAAUAUCUUUAUCGGUAAUCAAAACCAGUGGAAAAUUUGACGAUCAUAAACUAACGAGGUGGCCACACUAUAUUUUAUUUUAACAGAAGCCCUAAGG